GUAGGUGGCAAGCGUUGUCCGGAAUUAUUGGGCGUAAAGCGCGCGCAGGCGGGUUCUUUAAGUCUGAUGUGAAAGCCCACGGGCUCAACCGUGGAGGGUCAUUGGAAACUGGAGAACUUGAGUACAGAAGGGGAAAGCGGAAUUCCACGUGUAGCGGUGAAAUGCGUAGAGAUGUGGAGGAACACCAGUGGCGAAGGCGGCUUUCUGGUCUGUAACUGACGCUGAGGCGCGAAAGCGUGGGGAGCAAACAGGAUUAGAUACCCUGGUAGUCCACGCCGUAAACGAUGAGUGCUAAGUGUUAGGGGGUUUCCGCCCCUUAGUGCUGCAGCUAACGCAUUAAGCACUCCGCCUGGGGAGUACGACCGCAAGGUUG
rnacentral:rRNA from 1 species